rnacentral:rRNA from 1 species
CCUACGGGAGGCAGCAGUGGGGAAUAUUGGACAAUGGGGGCAACCCUGAUCCAGCCAUGCCGCGUGUGUGAAGAAGGCCCUCGGGUUGUAAAGCACUUUCAGUGAGGAAGAACGCCUGGUGGUUAAUACCCAUCAGGAAAGACAUCACUCACAGAAGAAGCACCGGCUAACUCCGUGCCAGCAGCCGCGGUAAUACGGAGGGUGCGAGCGUUAAUCGGAAUUACUGGGCGUAAAGCGCGCGUAGGUGGCUUGAUAAGCCGGUUGUGAAAGCCCCGGGCUCAACCUGGGAACGGCAUCCGGAACUGUCAAGCUAGAGUGCAGGAGAGGAAGGUAGAAUUCCCGGUGUAGCGGUGAAAUGCGUAGAGAUCGGGAGGAAUACCAGUGGCGAAGGCGGCCUUCUGGACUGACACAGACACUGAGGUGCGAAAGCGUGGGUAGCAAACAGGAUUAGAUACCCUAGUAGUC